GCUUACGGCCAUACCACCCUGAGCACGCCCGAUCUCGUCUGAUCUCGGAAGCUAAGCAGGGUCGGGCCUGGUUAGUACCUUGAUGGGAGAAGGCCUGGGAAUACCAGGUGCUGUAAGCU
rnacentral:rRNA from 1 species